rnacentral:RNase_P_RNA from 2 species
ACCCCGCCCUACCCCACCGCUUGCUGCUCGUUGGCAAGAGGAAAGUCCGGGCAACAUAGGGCACCACGCCGGCUAACGGCCGGGGGCCGAGGAGGAAUCCGAAGGCUACGGAAAGUGCCACAGAAAGCUAUACCGCCUCCAAGGACUACCUAGGCCGCGGAGGUAAGGGUGAAAACGUGCGGUAAGAGCGCACGGCCGGCCGCGGUAACGUGGUUGGUGGGUAAACCCCGUGGGUUGAAAUACCACGCAGUGUUGUUGGCUCCGGCCUACCGUCGGCUCCGGCGGUCCCGACUCGUUCGGGUGCAAUACGGGUAGGUAGAUCGAGCCGUCGGGCAACUGGCGGCCUAGAUAAAUGGUGGGGCUCUCCUCCUUCGCAGGGGGGGACGACAGAACCCGGCUUAUCGGGGCGGGGGCGCU